rnacentral:tRNA from 1 species
GGGCGACUAGCUCAGUUGGAUAGAGCGUCGGUCUCCGGAACCGAAGGUCGCGAGUUCGAAUCUCGCGUCGCCCA